GAUGUCAUUAUAUUGGAUGUUUCUAGAUAAUAUUUUUGAUAUAAUAACGUAACUAAUAGCUAUGAAGUCUUUCAAUCAUGAUUAAGAAACUCAACGAUUUUCAACUUAAUUAAGAAAGUGAAAAUUUUGAUGAGAUUUGAUUUAUUUUAGAACACCUACUAAGGCCCUGUUUGGUACACCGUAUAAGACACCGGAUAGGACUAAUAAUACGGUGUACCGUGUUUGGUGAUCAUUUGGAUUAAAUAAGCACCGGAUUAAAUAAUCCGGGCCCACCUUUUUUAACCGAUGCUUACCUGCUUAGUAAUACCGUGCAAAUACACGGUACAAAUUAGUCGGGCGUCUGGAAAGAGCAGUCUUCCUCGCCAUCUCUGCGCUCUCCAGUGCUCUCCAGGUGCUCUUUCUUCCUCUCCAGGCACUCUCUCUUCCUCUCAUCCCAGGAAUUGAAAGUGAACAAAGUAGUCAACCAAAAGGAAGUAGAAGGGUUUGGAAACAACAUGAAGAAGAUGCAUUGCUCUCCAUACUUGAGGAGGCAGUUGUUAAGAAUUUGCGAUGUAUUUUGUUAAAAACUGUAGCAUGCAUAUAUUUUGUUAAAAGUAGCAUGCAUAUAUUUUGGCUAUCUGGACAAACUGUUUCUUACUGAAACUACCUUGCAUUUGUAUAUUUUAUGAACUUGGAUAUGUGGUUGGAUUAUAUAUCGUAACGAUUGUAGUUGUUUUUUGUGAA